AGAGUUUGAUCCUGGCUCAGGAUGAACGCUAGCUACAGGCUUAACACAUGCAAGUCGAGGGGCAGCAUCAUCAAAGCUUGCUUUGAUGGAUGGCGACCGGCGCACGGGUGAGUAACACGUAUCCAACCUGCCGACAACACUGGGAUAGCCUUUCGAAAGAAAGAUUAAUACCGGAUGGUAUAGUUUUCCCGCAUGGGAUGAUUAUUAAAGAAUUUCGGUUGUCGAUGGGGAUGCGUUCCAUUAGGCAGUUGGCGGGGUAACGGCCCACCAAACCUACGAUGGAUAGGGGUUCUGAGAGGAAGGUCCCCCACAUUGGAACUGAGACACGGUCCAAACUCCUACGGGAGGCAGCAGUGAGGAAUAUUGGUCAAUGGACGAGAGUCUGAACCAGCCAAGUAGCGUGAAGGAUGACUGCCCUAUGGGUUGUAAACUUCUUUUAUACGG
rnacentral:rRNA from 1 species